rnacentral:rRNA from 1 species
GUGGGGAGUAUUGGACAAUGGGGGAAACCCUGAUCCAGCCAUGCCGCGUGAGUGAUGAAGGCCUUCGGGUUGUAAAGCUCUUUUAGCGGGGAAGAUAAUGACGGUACCCGCAGAAUAAGCCCCGGCUAACUUCGUGCCAGCAGCCGCGGUAAGACGAAGGGGGCUAGCGUUGUUCGGAAUUACUGGGCGUAAAGGGCGCGCAGGCGGCUUUGCAAGUCAGGCGUUAAAGACCCAGGCUCAACCUGGGGAAUGCGCUUGAUACUGCGGAGCUUGAGAUCGGAAGAGGAGAGUGGAAUUCCCAGUGUAGAGGUGAAAUUCGUAGAUAUUGGGAAGAACACCAGUGGCGAAGGCGGCUCUCUGGUCCGAUUCUGACGCUGAGGCGCGAAAGCGUGGGGAGCAAACAGGAUUAGAUACCCUGGUAGUCC